rnacentral:rRNA from 1 species
UAGCGGCAGGCCUUAACCCAUCCAAUUGGAGGGGCCGCCCCAUGUUGGUAGCAAUACUGAUGGUGGCGACCGGCGCACGGGUGAGUAACACGUAUGCAACCUACCUUUAUCCAGGGGAGAUAACCCGUUGAAAGACGGGAUUAAUAUUUCCAUAACACAUUUUUUUCCGCAUGGUAAAAUAUUUUAAAGAUUUAUUUUGGUAUAAGAUGGGCAUGCGCUCCAUUAGCUAGUUGGUUGAGGUAACGGCUCACCAAGGCAACGAUGGAUAGGGGAACUGAGAGGUUUAUCCCCCACACUGGUACUGAGACACGGACCAGACUCCUACGGGAGGCAGCAGUGAGGAAUAUUGGUCAAUGGAGGCAACUCUGAACCAGCCACGUCGCGUGAAGGAUGACGGCCCUACGGGUUGUAAACUUCUUUUAUACAGGAAUAAAUUUAGUCACGUGUGAUUAAUUGCAUGUACUGUAUGAAUAAGGAUCGGCUAACUCCGUGCCAGCAGCCGCGGUAAUACGGAGGAUCCGAGCGUUAUCCGGAAUUAUUGGGUUUAAAGGGUGCGUAGGCGGCCAUUUAAGUCAGCGGUGAAAUUUUGCAGCUUAACUGUAACAGUGCCGUUGAUACUGUUUGGCUAGGAUUUGGUUGUAGUGUGCGGAAUGUGUGGUGUAGCGGUGAAAUGCUUAGAUAUCACACAGAACACCGAUUGCGAAGGCAGCACACUAAGUCAUUAUUGACGCUGAGGCACGAAAGUGUGGGGAUCAAACAGGAUUAGAUACCCUGGUAGUCCACACUGUAAACGAUGAUAACUCGCUGUCGGCGAUACACAGUCGGUGCCAAGCGAAAGCAUUA